rnacentral:tRNA from 1 species
UUAAUUGAAACCAAAAAGAGGUAUACCACUGUUAAUGGUAAAAUUGAACAACAAUGUUCCAAUUAAA